rnacentral:rRNA from 1 species
ACGCUGGCGGCAGGCCUAACACAUGCAAGCCGAGCGGUAGAGAGGAGCUUGCUCCCUUGAGAGCGGCGGACGGGUGAGUAAUGCCUAGGAAUCUGCCUGGUAGUGGGGGAUAACGUUCGGAAACGGACGCUAAUACCGCAUACGUCCUACGGGAGAAAGCAGGGGACCUUCGGGCCUUGCGCUAUCAGAUGAGCCUAGGUCGGAUUAGCUAGUUGGUGGGGUAAUGGCUCACCAAGGCGACGAUCCGUAACUGGUCUGAGAGGAUGAUCAGUCACACUGGAACUGAGACACGGUCCAGACUCCUACGGGAGGCAGCAGUGGGGAAUAUUGGACAAUGGGCGAAAGCCUGAUCCAGCCAUGCCGCGUGUGUGAAGAAGGUCUUCGGAUUGUAAAGCACUUUAAGUUGGGAGGAAGGGCAGUUACCUAAUACGUGAUUGUUUUGACGUUACCGACAGAAUAAGCACCGGCUAACUCUGUGCCAGCAGCCGCGGUAAUACAGAGGGUGCAAGCGUUAAUCGGAAUUACUGGGCGUAAAGCGCGCGUAGGUGGUUAGUUAAGUUGGAUGUGAAAUCCCCGGGCUCAACCUGGGAACUGCAUUCAAAACUGACUGACUAGAGUAUGGUAGAGGGUGGUGGAAUUUCCUGUGUAGCGGUGAAAUGCGCAGAUAUAGGAAGGAACACCAGUGGCGAAGGCGACCACCUGGACUGAUACUGACACUGAGGUGCGAAAGCGUGGGGAGCAAAC